rnacentral:rRNA from 1 species
UGAGGAAUAUUGGUCAAUGGGCGGGAGCCUGAACCAGCCAAGCCGCGUGAGGGAGGAAGGCCCUAUGGGUCGUAAACCUCUUUUGUCAGGGAACAAAAGCGAGUAUGUAUACUAGUCUGAGUGUACCUGAAGAAAAAGCAUCGGCUAACUCCGUGCCAGCAGCCGCGGUAAUACGGAGGAUGCGAGCGUUAUCCGGAUUUAUUGGGUUUAAAGGGUGCGUAGGCGGCGGUGCAAGUCAGCGGUAAAAGCCCGGGGCUCAACCCCGGCGAGCCGUUGAAACUGCAGUGCUAGAGAAGGCGAGAGGUACGCGGAAUGCGCAGUGUAGCGGUGAAAAUGCUUAGAUAUUGCGCAGAACUCCGAUUGCGAAGGCAGCGUACUGGCGCCUGACUGACGCUGAGGCACGAAAGCGUGGGGAUCGAACAGGAUUAAAUACC